rnacentral:rRNA from 1 species
GACGAACGCUGGCGGCGUGCUUAACACAUGCAAGUCGAGCGGUAAGGCCCUUUCGGGGGUACGACGAGCGGCGAACGGGUGAGUAACACGUGGGUGACCUGCCCUCAGCUCUGGGAUAAGCCUGGGAAACCGGGUCUAAUACUGGAUAUGACUCCAUGACGCAUGUUGUGGGGUGGAAAGCCUUGUGCGGCUGAGGAUGGGCCCGCGGCCUAUCAGCUUGUUGGUGGGGUGAGGCCUACCAAGGCGACGACGGGUAGCCGGCCUGAGAGGGCGACCGGCCACACUGGGACUGAGACACGGCCCAGACUCCUACGGGAGGCAGCAGUGGGGAAUCUUGCGCAAUGGGCGAAAGCCUGACGCAGCGACGCCGCGUGAGGGAUGACGGCCUGG